CCGACGGUGAGAGGCGAAAGCUGGGGGAGCAAACCGGAUUAGAUACCCGGGUAGUCCCAGCCGUAAACGAUGCUCGCUAGGUGUCUGGGAUGGUGCGACCGUUUCAGGUGCCGCUGGGAAGCCGUGAAGCGAGCCACCUGGGAAGUACGGCCGCAAGGCUGAAACUUAAAGGAAUUGGCGGGGGAGCACUACAACGGGUGGAGCCUGCGGUUUAAUUGGACUCAACGCCGGAAAACUCACCUGGGGC
rnacentral:rRNA from 1 species